UGAAAGAACUUGUGUAAAUGAAAACACGUGAAAUUAGUAUCACGUGUAUAUGUGAUGUUAUGGAAUUUAACUAUGGCAAUUAAGUGAGAGGAGAUGGAAAGCUCUGAUGGCUACACAUUUUCAAAUCUUUCUUGUAUGAAGAUAGUGGUAAAGAAGAAAAUGUGUUUUUAUUUUAUUUUGUCAAUCAAGCCUUUUUUUUCAGUUAUUCACAUUGCAGCUCAUACACAUCCACACAUUCACAUUAAUGCAGUUUCUAAAUGAAUAUGGCUGAAAGGUCAUUAGUCUAAAUGUAGCAAAAAAAAAGAUUCAUCAUCAUCAUCCCAUAUCUAUCUGAGCAUUUCACUGUGGUUAAUUAAUUUGAACACAAUGUCAACAUUUCCGUACACGGUUUUAACGAACAGACACUUUUCUUUCCAAAAAGAAGAGCAUGCGAGAAGAGAGGAGAUGAGAAAAGAGAAAGAAAGAGAGAGGGAGGCAUAGAGAGAGCGGGAGACAGGAGGGAGGGAUACAGUUAGAGGGAGGUAGGGACACACAGACAGAUAAGGAGACAGAAGCAUUCCCGCUAUGCCACAUAUGUUUACAUGAUACCUGUAGCUGGUAGCUUUGUAGCUAGCUUCUAGCAUGUUACUUUCGUUUACGUCUUCGCUUAGUUCUUUCUGGAACGGGUGCUUCGUCGUUGACGAGGUACCUUUUGUAACGUACUGGAUCCAUUAUUUUUCUUUAUUUGUUGCUUAUUUACCACAGACCGUAAAGCAUAAUGGCAAGCAUGUAUCCACUCUGCUCUGAUCGGCCGCUACAGCGUCGCGUGCGAAUGACGUCAUCAAUCGCGCUGGGCCGCUUGUUGAUGACGUCAUUCCCAUGCAGGCGCGAUCGCGCCGAAAGAUAACGGCUGGGACGAAGUAUAAAGUAUUAAAAAUGGAGACAUCAGCGUUCCGCUAUGUCCUACUUGAAUGGACUGAGGGUGAGGAUAGUGGGGCGCACAGUAUUUUGACGAUGGACUGUGUCCGGAACUUUUCAGUUCAAGAUUUUUUUGCCUCGACUGAACAACACAAGAAGCUGGUGGAAUGGCGAAAAAGCCGCCAACCCUGGCCGGUUCACCGAGCCAAAAUUAUUGACGUGGCAAGUAAGUUAUGUUACAUUUCUAUUAUGUAUAUCACAUUAAAUUUUGCUCGCACUAAAAGAAGUGAAAAAUGGAUCUUGUUACCUGACUAGCUUAGUAUGCUGGCUGUUAGGUAGCAUUAGCAAAUUAGGUAGCUAAGUCUCUUAAUUGGGACUAAUGCUACGUUUGGUAACGUUAAACAUGAUUAGACAAACGUUUGCAGUAAACAUUUCAAUUUUAUUGCACCAGAAUUUGAAAAACCUCCAAAUUAAACUGCGUGAGAUCGAGGUGGAGAAAGAGGGCACACAAACAAAACGUCCUCACAUCCCAAACUCAAAGUACAUUGAGCAGCAGGGGAAGACUGAGAAGGCUUUAAAAAAAAGGUAACUGACUGCACCAAUUGGUGCUUUAGUUCAAGUUAUCUCCCCUCUCUUGUUUCUUAAUGUGUAGGCAUGUUUGUAGGUUUGUAAUUGUGUCAUCUAUGAUGAUUUAAUGUGCUUUGACAAGAUAUAUGUGCAAGCUGGUGUAACGCAAGUUAAUAAGAGUUGGGCUAAAAGUCAGUCUGUGUCUUUCUGUCGGUUGACAAUAAAAAGGGAGGGUCUUCCAAAUACAAGCACCAGGAGGGUGAGAAGCAGGAGGAGGGUCAUGACAGACUUUCAAAGAACAAGGUUGCCGUGAAAAAGAAAAAUCUUUCUAAAUACGAGGAGGAGGAGGGAGAAGUGGAUGAUGAGGCGCGUCAUGACACAAAGAACAAGAGAAGAGGAGGAGCAUAUUGGGGAUGAAGACGACAAAGUACCAGCCUCAAAGAAAAAGAGCGCUGCUGAAUUUAGAAAGCAACUGGACGAACAGAUGUGGGAGAGAAAAAAAAUUGAACAAAUGCAAAGAAAUUUGCAGGAGUUGCGAAAUGAAGUUCAGUCUCUCAAAAGUGAAAAUGCACAUCUGAAAGAUGUUCUGGAAUGGGAAGCAACCUGAAUGGUUCAAAAACGUGAUGUGUGUGUAUAUAUAAAAAGCAUCGUCCGGACCCUGAAAGCACCGUCUCCACCUAACUGUCAAAAAGAAAAACAGCGAGCGCGUAGAAAACUCCUUCCAGCGCGAGCAGAGAUUCUCCUCGCGAGCAACAAAGUUCACGUUUCGCAAGCGAGCAAAUACCUCGCAGAGACGAACUUUUGAUCGCGCGAGACAGACUUUUGCUCGCGGAUGUUUGACUUUGGUUAAAUUCUUAAGGUCAUUUAAUCAUUAUGUUUUGAUCAGAGUUGUGAUUAAAGGUUUGGGUGGGCCGCGAAAGAUUUUCAGAUUUCAAAUUGGGCUGCGGCAAUCUUGAGUUUGGGAAACGCUGGUCUAUGGAAAAGAGAACUAUGACCGGGUACUUUAACAUUAACAAAUGUAUGUAUCUUUAAGAUAACUAGGGUGUAAUUUGGAUAGGGGGUGGAUGUAGUGAUCAAUAUAUUCGGUGAUGUUGAAGGGCUCGGAACCGCAAUCGCUGACUAUAGGGCGGCCAGAACAACAAAGGGAACCGUCCAGGUCCCAGGAGUCUUAUGGAUUUUAGGGAGCAGAUAGAAGAGGCGGGGUUUGGGUUCAUCCGGGCCGUCCAAGUAUUGUUUUUGGUUAGGAUGGGAAUAAGGCUCUGGAGAGGGCUCUGGGGCAGAGUCAGAGACAGCGCCGUGGUCCGAGUGGGAUCCCCCACUUCACCAAUGAGGUCUGAGAACGCUUGCCGGUUGGCUUCUGUUGGUGAAACCUGAGCUCCUCUAUUCAACGGCUUUAUAAAACUAGAAAUGGAGCAGCUCGGUACAGGUACAACAUACCUGUUGUGUCAAACUCCCACACCCAGUCAUUCAUCCUCUGCUUGGAUCAGCGCCUCUUAUCCCGAUCCUGCCAUGCAAAGUACUUUAAAAUAUGCAACCAGUAUAUAUGAAAAAUCAACAGAAGCAUAUUUACCCAAUCAAAGAAAUGGAGAUUUCCCCACACUAUGUGGGUCCAGCAACACUCUGGCCACCCAACAGGAGACUGGCAUUCCCUGGAAAAGUGCCACUUUCCCUUUGAUAGGAGCACAGCCUUGAAUUCAGAGCGCCACCCCAUGGUGCCACCUGCUACACAUGGCAUAAACCGGUCCGGACUAUGCCCUUCACACAGUUAAAAUACAGUCUUCUUAUCUGCUUCAUGCUAUGUUCCCUCAGCAGUGCCCCCCAUCAGACCAGGGGUACCACUGCUGCUGAUGUCCCUCUUCGCUCUGUGAAUGUAAAAGGGUGUAAAAACACCCUAAUAAAACGGAGCAGCACAUUUAACUUUAAAACAUUAGAAUAAAUUAAAAACAGCAGUAUACAGUCCCAGGUUGUUUGCACGUCUCUCCAUACAAAACCAUCCGGAGCUCUAUGCUGAGGAACUCGUCAGUAAUGAACAGAGGGACAUCUGACAAUACUAUUUUUGUUGCUGGUUGUGAAAAUGCAACACCUGAACAAACAAUUAAUUCACCGUGCAACAUGUGCAGCAUCAUCGGGAAAUGAUCUUCCAGGCGGCUCACUAUAACCCGAUGGCUGGCCACAUGGGAUACGAAAAAACGCUAGACCAGAUAAUGACCCGAUUUUAUUGGCCAGGCAUCCGGCGGGACGUGCGCUGCGCUUCCUGCCCGGAGUGUCAGUUAGUGAACGCUCCGGCCGUUCCGAGGGCGCCGCUGCGUCCUCUGCCGUUGGUGGAGGUUCCGUUCGAGCGGAUCGGCAUGGACCUCAUCAGGCCGUUUCACCGGAGCGCACGCGGAUAUCGCUUUGUGUUAGUCCUCAUGGAUUACGCAACGCGAUAUCUGGAGGCAGUGCCAUUGCGCAAUAUCUCUGCAAAGAGUGUCGCGCAGGCUCUGUUUCAGGUCAUCUCCCGAGUUGGAAUCCCUAAAGAGAUUCUGACUGACCAGGGCACCUCGUUCAUGUCGCGCACACAGAGAACUUUACGGGUUACUGGGCAUUAAGUCCAUUCGUACUAGCGUGUAUCACCCGCAGACGGAUGGGCUGGUGGAACGUAUGAAUAAGACUCUGAAGUCCAUGAUCCGUAAAUUUAUUAGCGAAGAUGAACGUAAUUGGGACCACUGGCUUGACCCUCUGUUGUUUGCAGUGCGGGAGGUCCCCCAGGCCUCCACGGGAUUUUCUCCCUUUGAACUUUUGUUUGGCAGGACGCCACGAGGGGUGCUGGACCUUAUUAAAGAAAGCUGGGAGGAAGGUCCAAGCCCCUGCAAGAAUGAGAUCCAGUACGUCCUGGACCUGCGAGCGAAACUCCACACACUGGGCCGGAUGUCAAGAGAGAAUUUGCUGCAGGCCCAGGAGCGACAACAAGGGCUGUACGACAGAGGGGCCAGGCUGCGACGAUUUACACCGGGAGAAAAGGUACUUGUAUUACUUCCUUCUUCCAACUCUAAACUCCUAGCCAAGUGGCAAGGGCCCUUUGAUGUCACACGGCAGGUGGGGGACGUCGACUACGAGGUGGUGCGGUCUUGACAGGGGCGGGGGUAUACAGAUAUACCACCUGCACCCCCUGAAAGCCUGGAGGGGGGUGGAUUCUGUCUCUCUGGUCUCUACGGUAUCAGAAAGGGAGGAGCUGGGGCCGGAGGUUCCAAAAGCAGGCCGGACCGACCUCAUAGUACACAGUUUCGAGACGCCCCCGGAUGUGACGGUGAGGUCACGAUCCUACAGGUUGCCCGAACACAAGAAAGAAGUGCUUCGGAGGGAAUUGGCGAGUAUGUUGGAGUUGGGGGUAAUAGAAGAGUCCAACAGUGCCUGGUGCAGCCCCAUCGUCCUUGUGGCAAAGAAGGAUGGAUCUGUACGGUUCUGCGUGGACUAUCGCAGGGUGACUGACGUGUCACGGUUCGAUGCCUACCCAAUGCCCCGGGUCGACGAGCUCCUGGACCGGCCAAGCACUGCACGUUUCUUCACGACACUGGAUUUAACCAAGGGCUACUGGCAGAUUCCUCUGUCACCAGAGUCCAAGUAGAAAUCGGCAUUCUCCACCCCGUACGGUUUGUACCACACUUCCCUUCAGGUUGUUUGGGACCCCGGCCACGUUUCAGCGCCUCAUGGAUCGGGUGCAUUCUACCUGAAUGGAGAAUGGUUUAACGUGCUCUCACAGACCUUUGAUCAAAGGAGCAUUGUGUGUUACCCUCAUCUUCACCUGAGUUCUUAUCUCAACCUGAUUUAUGGCUUCUCGUAACUGGCACUGAGGAUGGUCUUCAUGUGUAUAAAAACUCGUUUUUGCUGCUCGGAGACACCAUUACACAGAACGCUGGAAUAUGUGCUGGUGUGUUUGACCUCCUCCUUGCAAGCAACAGUUAGAGACUGAUAUCUGCGGAAAAUUGCUCAUGUAAUCUUUUUCUCUUCUAAAUAAAUGUUAACUUUGUGACUUUAAUUGAUUAACGUGCUGCGAUCCUUCUCAUCAACCAACUCGGGGGGGAUUGGAGAUCCCGACACUCUAAGAUCAAUGAGAGGGAUACCUUGUUCACGAGCCCAGGCCUCAUCCACAAAACUUCCUUCGGCACCAGAGUUAAUCAAAGCCAGGCAGGAGAUGGCGGAGCCCAGCCACCGUAGAUGGAAGGAAAAGGUAGUGCAGGUGCGUGACAGGGGCGUCUAAGGAGGAUGCACUCACUAGUAACCCCCUCUCUACUGGUGAACUCUGGCUUUUACCGGGCAGGCUGAGAAGAAAUGGGAAGGUGAUCGACAGUAUAUACAAAGACGUCCGGUGAUGCAGCGUUGGCGUUCCGCAGCGGAGAUCCGUAACCCUCCUAGCUGCAUGGGCUCCGAAUCAGCGCUGGCGGAGGGUGACGGAGAGGAAGGCGCAGAGGGAAGUGACCCCUUCAGGUUGCAGGCUCUGCGGCGUAGUUCGAAGUGCUUCUCGACGCAGAUCACCAUGUCAAUGGGGGGGGUCAAGUCGAGAAGGAAUCUCGCGGGCUAAAACCUCAUCCUUAAUCUCUGCAUUCAAUCCCUCCAGAAAUUGUGCCACCAGAGCGGGUUCGUUCCAGUCGCAGGAAGUCGCUAACGUGUGAAAUUCAAGUUGGCGGUCAAUCUCUUUCCCCGACAAAGAGGAGUCGAGAGGCUUCAGCCCCGUGUGCGGAAUGGUCGAAAACUCUUGACAUCUCCUCCUUGAAGAGCACAUAACGGUCGAGGCAGUCGACGUCCGAACUCCAGACAGCAGUUCCCACUCACGCGCCCGGCCGGUGAGAAGAGAGACCACGAAGGCGAUGCGGGAUCGGUCACUGGCGUACCUCGAGGGCUGAAGUGAAAAAACUUCCGACAUUCUGUCGGCUCACCCGCAUAGCAUGGAGGAUUGUUCACUCUGGGUUCCGGCGCGUCGAGGUUCCGGGCCGAGGGGGGGAUCACGAACACAAAGGUGAAGAAGCUGCUGAGACAAGUUGGUCACCUGAGCCGCGAGAGAUUCAACAGCCUGAUGAGUGGCGGCUAGCUCACCCUCAUGACUUCCCAGCAUAGUUUCCUGUAGCUCGAGGGCAGACUGGAACUGGUUCUCCCUUGCUGGAACCAUGGUGGCCAGAGUAUUCUGUCGUGUUUGUGAAGGAGAGAGGACCCAAACGCAAGGGAAGCUAACGUCUGUUUUAAUCAACUUAGAAUGUCCAAGGCAAAAAAUGGAACUAAGGUAGCCAGUCUUUGGAACACAGACCAACAUUAGAUCUUCUCAUCCUUUGACCUCUUUUUACCUCAGUUUACAUUCAGGAUUAAAGUGUGACAAAUAAUGAUUAUAUAUAAAGAAACCAAAAGUCCAGCAUUAAAUACAUCUGUAAUAACCUACGUAAACACAGUUAAAUAUAAGUAAAUCUAUGGUUUAAAUACAUGUAUUCGCACGUUUACUCUGCGUCUCCUUGAACUGUCUCUGUUCUGCCUUCACUGACACAAUGCGUGGAAAAUAAAUAUCUGAUUCAAG
ensembl:lncRNA